UUUACAGAAAUCCCUACAUUGUAUCCUUCAAAUCGAUUUUCACCUUUCAUGAAAUCCUGCAGCAACAACAACAAUGAGUUGUCAGAUAAAUUGAAAUCCUUCAAAACACAAUUAACAUAAACAAUAUUGAUUCACUCAUGGUUAAAAAUAAUUUUUAAAAAAAAACCCAAAAUUAUUAAAAAUCACAACGUAAACUAUGAAGAUGGAAACAAUUAAAAAAAUAAAUUUCAAUUAUGAAGAUGCAAAACCCAAACCAUAGCUACCCAAAAUUAUUGUAAAAUUAACAUUUUUUUUAAGGCAAAAAGAAAGUAUAAUUAUAUAAUAAACCACAAAGGGGUGCUAAAGGUUUAGUAAACUAGUACAGAGAGAGGGAUCGAUCACCAAAUCCAAAACACAAAAAAAGGCAAAACUCAACAACCAAAAAACAUUCCAUCUAAAAACAGAAAACUACAACACAGAGGACAAAACAGAAAGCAGCAGCAAAAACAAUCCUGCAGCGAGCGAAGCAAACACUCGAACCAUNNNNNNNNNNNNNNNNNNNNNNNNNNNNNNNNNCCACCGCCAUUCAUACAAGAGACAGGGGCCUUUGGCCAUGCGCCCAAUAAACCAAUUGUAAAAUUAACAUUGUUUGAAUGAAAAACAAGAUGGAAAUACUCACUUGUUAGAAAGCAACGAAAUUAUGCAAACGUUGGCGGUGAAACGCGGUGAAAUUAUGUAGAAGAAGUUUUUUCAGUAUUUGUGGUGGUUAGAUCUAUAGCCAUAUCAGUUACCACCCUCUCGUUCAAACCGGUUGCAGUAGUUAGAUUCAAAUGGCGACGGUGGUUUGUGACUUUUGUUGAGUGGGUAUGAAAGAGGCCGGCGACUGAGGCUUCAAAGAGAAGCUCUGUUACUUUUGGUUAUGAAGAAGAAGAUCGU
rnacentral:lncRNA from 1 species